rnacentral:rRNA from 1 species
UACGUAGGGUGCAAGCGUUAAUCGGAAUUACUGGGCGUAAAGCGUGCGCAGGCGGUUCGCUAAGACCGAUGUGAAAUCCCCGGGCUUAACCUGGGAACUGCAUUGGUGACUGGCGGGCUAGAGUAUGGCAGAGGGGGGGUAGAAUUCCACGUGUAGCAGUGAAAUGCGUAGAGAUGUGGAGGAAUACCGAUGGCGAAGGCAGCCCCCUGGGCCCAAUACUGACGCUCAUGCACGAAAGCGUGGGGAGCAAACAGG